rnacentral:lncRNA from 1 species
CGCAAAUUCACUCCCGAUCUUCUGGCAUCUAAGAAACCCUAGUAAACACUCCAAACCCUAUUUUACAAGCACCCGAAAAACUAUUUUCCUUAUAUCUCAAAAACCCGAACUCCAAAUGUCAUAAAACUUAUGCACAAAGUUUACUAACAUGAAAUUUCACAUUCCUUGAAAUUUUGAGUCAAAACCUUGUCAAAUUGCUCAAGAUACAGCUCAAGAGACAAAUACUAGUAAAUCGGUUUACUUACUACCCUUAGAUUGAAUGUGCUGACUUCAAAAUCCAAUAACUCCUUCAUUCCAACUUGGAAUCUAGUAAACAGUGUAUGAAAAGUAUAGCCGCAAAAGUUUUCUCUUCAGUCGCGGUCGCCGAUCCUUAAUUUCCAUCAGUACGCGUGCGUUAUGCCCAAAAGAGUGACAGUAGGUUCAAAACUAACACCUUAACUUUGAGCACCUAUAACUUCUUCAUAAAAACCCCAAAUGACACAAAACUUGCACCAAAACCUUAACCAAAAACCUAAACCUUCUGAUUCUAGCCUUCAA